AUGUAAUAUUAACAGAAGUUCGACGACAGCCCCAUCCGAUUUCAUAUAAUAUAACAGCUGUAUAACACUACGCAUUGGCCGGCCCUGCAUCUUAAUUAU